UUGAACGCUGGCGGCAUGCCUUACACAUGCAAGUCGAACGGUAGAGGAGCAAUCCUCGAGAGUGGCGAACGGGUGAGUAAUGUAUCGGAACGUGCCCAGUAGUGGGGGAUAGCCCGGCGAAAGCCGGAUUAAUACCGCAUACGACCUAAGGGUGAAAGCAGGGGACCGCAAGGCCUUGCGCUAUUGGAGCGGCCGAUGUCAGAUUAGCUAGUUGGUGGGGUAAAAGCCUACCAAGGCGACGAUCUGUAGCUGGUCUGAGAGGACGACCAGCCACACUGGGACUGAGACACGGCCCAGACUCCUACGGGAGGCAGCAGUGGGGAAUUUUGGACAAUGGGCGCAAGCCUGAUCCAGCCAUGCCGCGUGCGGGAAGAAGGCCUUCGGGUUGUAAACCGCUUUUGUCAGGGAAGAAACGGUCUGGGCUAAUACCCUGGGCUAAUGACGGUACCUGAAGAAUAAGCACCGGCUAACUACGU
rnacentral:rRNA from 1 species